GACGAACGCUGGCGGCGUGCUUAACACAUGCAAGUCGAACGGAAAGGCCCUGCUUUUGUGGGGUGCUCGAGUGGCGAACGGGUGAGUAACACGUGAGUAACCUGCCCUUGACUUUGGGAUAACUUCAGGAAACUGGGGCUAAUACCGGAUAGGAGCUCCUGCUGCAUGGUGGGGGUUGGAAAGUUUCGGCGGUUGGGGAUGGACUCGCGGCUUAUCAGCUUGUUGGUGGGGUAGUGGCUUACCAAGGCUUUGACGGGUAGCCGGCCUGAGAGGGUGACCGGCCAUAUUGGGACUGAGAUACGGCCCAGACUCCUACGGGAGGCAGCAGUGGGGAAUAUUGCACAAUGGGCGGAAGCCUGAUGCAGCAACGCCGCGUGCGGGAUGACGGCCUUCGGGUCGUAAACCGCUUUCGCCUGUGACGAAGCGUGAGUGACGGUAAUGGGUAAAGAAGCACCGGCUAACUACGUGCCAGCAGCCGCGGUGAUACGUAGGGUGCGAGCGUUGUCCGGAUUUAUUGGGCGUAAAGGGCUCGUAGGUGGUUGAUCGCGUCGGAAGUGUAAUCUUGGGGCUUAACCCUGAGCGUGCUUUCGAUACGGGUUGACUUGAGGAAGGUAGGGGAGAAUGGAAUUCCUGGUGGAGCGGUGGAAUGCGCAGAUAUCAGGAGGAACACCAGUGGCGAAGGCGGUUCUCUGGGCCUUUCCUGACGCUGAGGAUCGAAAGCGUGGGGAGCGAACAGGCUUAGAUACCCUGGUAGUCCACGCUGUAAACGGUGGGUACUAGGUGUGGGGUCCAUUCCACGGGUUCCGUUCCGUAGCUAACGCUUUAAGUACCCCGCCUGGGGAGUACGGCCGCAAGGCUAAAACUCAAAGGAAUUGACGGGGCCCCGCACAAGCGGCGGAGCAUGCGGAUUAAUUCGAUGCAACGCGUAGAACCUUACCUGGGUUUGACAUGGAUCGGGAGUGCUCAGAGAUGGGUGUGCCUCUUUUGGGGUCGGUUCACAGGUGGUGCAUGGCUGUCGUCAGCUCGUGUCGUGAGAUGUUGGGUUAAGUCCCGCAACGAGCGCAACCCUUGUUCACUGUUGCCAGCACGUUAUGGUGGGGACUCAGUGGAGACCGCCGGGGUCAACUCGGAGGAGGGUGGGGAUGACGUCAAGUCAUCAUGCCCCUUAUGUCCAGGGCUUCACGCAUGCUACAAUGGCUGGUACAGAGAGUGGCGAGCCUGUGAGGGUGAGCGAAUCUCGGAAAGCCGGUCUCAGUUCGGAUUGGGGUCUGCAACCCGACCUCAUGAAGUCGGAGUCGCUAGUAAUCGCAGAUCAGCAACGCUGCGGUGAAUACGUUCCCGGG
rnacentral:rRNA from 1 species